UCAUAUUUGGGACAGUUAUGUUAUAAAUAUUGAAGAUUUCCCAAAAAGGAGUUAUUCCCAUCCUUCUGUUUAAAUACCUGUCAUUCUGGUGAUGUUAUGGGUUAAUUAGUUCAUUUUCUGAAGUGUAUUUCUGGGAUAUUUUCCCAUUAACUACUUUGACCCAUAACCUCAUGUUCUGAGAGUUACUUAACCUUUGGUCUUGUAGUGGCAACCAUUCUGUUCCUUUUAGGAUAUUUCUUAUUUGUGAUUCUCUUAGUAGCUAUAUGUGGUUUAUAUUGCUAUUUCCUAACAUGAAGCCUCACACAGUGAAUUGAUGUUACAUUUAAUUAACAGAAGAGGUUUAGAUAUUUCACAAAGUUAUUGACAGCAGGAACACUACAUUAAUACCAAAUGUUUGACAUCAUUUACUGGAAUAAGAGAUUGUAAUCCCUGAUUAAAAUAAUAUUAAAAAUGGACCAAUAUUCCAACUAAAGGACUGCUACAGGAAAGAGUUAACAAUGCUUGAAAAUACUUUAUGAAGUUCUAUGCUUUAACAAGUCUGUAUUUCUUUCAAGUUUUACUCCAACAUUUCUUGGCUUACAAUUGUUUCUACUUUAAUUUUAAAGCUUAAUUUUAAACUCUUGCAAUCAAUUUUAUAACAGCCUCAGCAUAACUUGUUAGGGCAUUCCCAAUGAGGAAAAGUCCACGAAAUCCAGUAAGACUGUUUUAUAUACUGCAAAGGUAUAUAAAUACCAAUGUUAAAAUCGUUUUUAGUUUGAUUUUUUUGUCUGAUUCACUGGUACAUACCAAUUGUUUUGUACCAAGCACAGUCAGGGCCUGGUAGCCAGUUGAACUGGGUUUACAACUUUGGAAGCUGUUAGACUAAUAACUUUCAUGUACUGUCUUGACUGGAAAAGAUUCUCUUCCAGUUUAUGGUCAUAAUGUAGCAGACACACCCAUCCCUUUGUGAUAAUAAAUAUGAAGCAGUAUUCUGUGAUAUGGAUCUUUAAUAUAUGGACUGGUUUUGGAAGGUGCUACUGUAAAGAUUUUAAAAGCAUAAGCCACACUUUGCCUUAAUAUCGGUAAAACUUUGGGAAAACAGUUUCCCAUUUGGUGCCUCUGGUGCUUUAGCAGGCUUUUCCUGUUAAUGUUUUUUGAACAACUGUGUAAACCCAGAGGAUUAAUCUGCCUGCAGGAGAGCACCAAGAAGGGCAACUGUUGUUCUCUUCAGCAUUUUUCUGCUGAGCAAAAGCAUGUCAAAGCCAUCACGACAGCUUAAUGCUACUACAUGCUAAAAAAGUCAUGCGUUAGUUAUAGCGAUUGUGGGUACAUAAAGUCUUGCUGAGAACUUCCUGCUGAAUCCCUGCCCAGCAGAAAUCACUUCAUGGCUGAUUGAUUGUUACUUCUUUUUUAAUUGAGCAAAACUGAAGAAGAUGUAUGUAUGUUUUAAUUCAGAUGGAAAACUAAAUAGCAGAUUCCAGAGACCUCGCCUUUUCUUGUCUGUGAGUACAUUUAGUUCAGCAAAGGGGCUUAUUACAUUAAUGAAGAAAUUUUCAUGAAAGUAAGAACACCUCUCUGCAUUUUAUAAUUUUAUGCUUGUUUAUAUAUAUUAAAAUAUUUCAGAAAAAAAAAUAGUUCCAUCAUUUUGUUUAGAAACCUGUCAUUUUGGUGAUUUCAUGGGUUAAUUAAUUCCUUUUUUCCCUACUGUAUUAGAUAUUUUCACUUUAACUAUGUCUACCUGAAACGUCCUGCUUUAAGAGGAACUUAACCAAAUGCAUAUUACUACCAUAUGCACUAUUGCUAAAACACGUGUUAUUCCUCAGGAUGCUCUCCUUGUUUAAAAUCUUUCUCUUUACAUGUUUCAGAAAACAUUUGGGACUGUUCAGUUGCAGACUGAACAAGACUUGGAGAAAAGGCAUGCACAGUUUUAUUUAAACAGCAAGUAGGCUGGUAUCAUCCUGAUUCUAUUAUUACCAGCUACUGUGCCACGAGCAUCUACUUACAGUGACAGUGUUGCAGACAUACUACUGAAACCUUUUGAAAACAUGUCUUUUCUUUCUGGAUCUCAGUCCGCUACCCUCAAUUCCUGCUGUCUCAGUGGCUGAUCAGUCUUACAUCUGUGGAAAAGGCCUUGAAGAUGGUUUUCAGAAGUCUGUGGCAUCUUUUAAUUUUCAGGAUAUCAGUUGAAGCCAUACCAAACCAGUUCUGACAUGAAUCUAUUUCCAACAAAUAGUUUAGCAGUGUUUGAUAUAGUCUGCAGAUGGCAAUACACCACAGACACCUCCACCUCUGCAUCUCUGGUAUCAUUAUUGUAAAUGUCAGUCUUCCUACUAUGGACCAAAGAUCGCUGGAGUGUACUCACUGGAGUUCACAAUGUAGGGCACCAUUUCGUUUAUAAUUUGCUGCCUAAACCAGGUUUUGUGCUAAUUACUUCUCUUUGGAGUUGCCGACUCAGCAUCAUUCACAAACCUUGUCUCCUUCUUGGCUUUUUUUUUUAAGGAACUUAAUUUUUCAAGGAGAAAACAUUGUUUUGCUCUGGUUCUAUAACUUCAUGGAUAUUACAUAUAUAGUAUGUAGAGAUUUUCGAAUAUGCUUUUAAUCUUCCAUUCUACGUUCUCCCUAAAUAGCUUUGAACUUUGAUAGAGUGCCUUUCAUCUAGGGAUAUUAAACUACUUGUUACAAAUCACUUACCUUUAUCAUGGAGAUGACCAGUUUCUAUUACCUUGUAUUCUUUUCCUCCCAGUUGUUACUACCAUUCUGGAUGCAACUGCUAUGCCAUUUUUGCCUAACAAGGCCAGAAACUAGAUGUAAUUGACAGGAUUAAAAAGUAGCCUUCUUGCUGAGCAAUUUUCCAAUUAUACAUUUUGCAACUGUAGGCUGGUUUUUGAUCAAUCAACAGAUUGUGUGCCUUUAUAUCAGCAAAUGCUUUAUAAAAAAGACCAAACUGAGUAAGAAUAAAAUUAAUAAUUUUUUUUUUUUGCCAGUAACCAGUGCAGUCUCAAACACUUUAAAUGUAAAGUGGAGAACAGUUUAAGUAAUAAAGGCACACAACAUAUUGUACAUUUAACCAUAUCUUCAGUCUGUCAAUCUCAAGCAAUUUUAAUGCCUCAAAAGGACAUUAUGCAGUGAAGUACAUGAGAAAAAGAAUUUUAACCCUCAAAAGACUGUGUCAUGCUUUAGAAUGGAUGUAUUCUUUAUUUUAACAUGAAUCACUGUCAAUAUCAUGGCUUAUAUAAUUGUUUCAGACAAAUUUCAUUUUAGAAUAGGAAGAUAAUCUAUUUAAAUAAAGUUUGGUAUGGUCCUCAUAGAAUUAUUUACUGAUCAUAUAAAGUCAUGAUGUUGAAUUUAACAAGUUUAGUCUUUUCUUACUGUUUUUUCUUUAACCUGAAAAUAUUUGUUCUGUAGCUUAUCAUUAAUUACCACCUUGUGGCUUAUUGGUAUUACUUCUUUUUAACGUAUGGGAGCAGCAAGCCUUGGUCUCUAAAGGACGAAGCAGCAGGUCAAGCAUUUCAUUUUGCAUUUGCAGGCAGAUAAUUUGUUCAUAUUAACAGAUCUGUGGCCUUUUUUAUAAUGAAAACAAAAGGACUGACUGUAUGAUAUGAAUCCUUGGGAUAAAAUGGAUUUUUAACGUGUUCAAAAUAGAAGUCUUACGUGAGCAUUCACUGAAACUCUGCUGUUUUGUUCAAUAUAAAUUAACAGCUUAACCAUUGUUUAUACAUCUCUGGUGAACUGAUGUGCAGGAUCUGCAAAUACAGCAAAAAUAAAUUAAUUUUAAAUGGG